CAAAAUACCAAGGAGAAGCAGGACGGAUUGGAAGAGGUAGAAAGAGUUCUUUCUAGCAAGGAUGAGGCAGCAAAAAAUGAACAAGAGGGAGCUGCUGAGGAGCAUGAGGGAGAGAAAUGGGACAGAAAUGUUGCUGCUGAGAAGAAAGAGGAAGAGAAACAAGAUGCCAAGCUGACUGCUGAGGAAAAGGACAAAACACAUGAUGGAAAAGUGGCUGCUGAGAAGCAAGAGGAAGAGGAAGAGGAAGUGAACGAAAACGUAACUUCUGAGAAGAAUGAAGUGGGUGUGAUUGAAAGGGGAGUUUUUGAGAAGGAUGAUGAAAUGGAAACAAAGGGAAACACUACUGCUGGUAAACAAGAGGGAAAGAAAGACAAUCAAAUAGAUGAUAUAUGUAAACAUGAGGGACAAAAUAAAGGGACCAAACGAGCAAAUGCUGACAUAGAAGAGGCAGAAAAUGGAAGCGUGUCUAAUAAAAAAGAGAAGGAUGGCGAGGCGAC
rnacentral:lncRNA from 1 species